GACGAACGCUGGCGGCGUGCUUAACACAUGCAAGUCGAGCGGUAACAGGUGUAGCAAUACAUGCUGACGAGCGGCGAACGGGUGAGCAAUGCUUCGGAGUCUUCCUAGUAGUGGGGAAUAACCUGGGGAAACUCAGGCUAAUACCGCAUACGAACUACGGUUGAACGCAGGGGAUCGCAAGACCUUGCGCUAUUAGAUGAGCCGAAGUCGGAUUAGCUAGUUGGUGAGGUAAAGGCUCACCAAGGCGACGAUCCGUAGCUGGUCUGAGAGGACGACCAGCCACACUGGAACUGAGACACGGUCCAGACUCCUACGGGAGGCAGCAGUGGGGAAUAUUGGACAAUGGGGGCAACCCUGAUCCAGCGACGCCGCGUGUGUGAAGAAGGCCUGCGGGUUGUAAAGCACUUUUAGUGGGGACAAAAAGCCGAGGGCUAAUACUCUUCGGUCUUGAUUUAACCCAAAGAAAAAGCACCGGCUAACUCUGUGCCAGCAGCCGCCGUAAAAC
rnacentral:rRNA from 1 species